rnacentral:lncRNA from 1 species
UCGGCAAGAUAUCGCAUCCUGGGCCUACGUAGUCUAUCAGGCAUAGACAUCAGAGUCGACGUAGUUCGGACCGGGGGAAAACAUGCUCGCUAGGAUGUCGCAUCCUAUGCAUACGUAUCUUCUUGGACUAAAGAAGAAUCAGAGCACUCGUAGCUCGGCUAACGCACGCAAGACAAAACAACACAGGAAAUCGACUGCCAAUCGCU